rnacentral:rRNA from 1 species
GGAAUAUUGCGCAAUGGGCGAAAGCCUGACGCAGCGACGCCGCGUGGGGGAUGAAGGUCUUCGGAUUGUAAACCCCUCUCGGGAGGGAAGAUGGGAUGGGGUAACCCAUUCGCCCGGUACCUCCAGAAGCAGCAACGGCGCACUUCGUGCCAGCAGCCGCGGUAAUACGAAGGUGGCAAGCGUUGUUCGGAUUUACUGGGCGUACAGGGAGCGUAGGCGGUUGGGUAAGCCCUCCGUGAAAUCUCCAGGCUUAACCUUGAAAGUGCAGAGGGGACUGCUCAGCUAGAGGAUGGGAGAGGAGCGCGGAAUUCCCGGUGUAGCGGUGAAAUGCGUAGAGAUCGGGAGGAAGGCCGGUGGCGAAGGCGGCGCUCUGGAACAUUUCUGACGCUGAGACUCGAAAGCGUGGGGAGCAAAC